CGUGCACGCUGGCGGUAGGCCUAACACAUGCAAGUCGAACGGCAGCACAGUAAGAGCUUGCUCUUACGGGUGGCGAGUGGCGGACGGGUGAGGAAUACAUCGGAAUCUACUUUUUCGUGGGGGAUAACGUAGGGAAACUUACGCUAAUACCGCAUACGACCUACGGGUGAAAGCAGGGGAUCUUCGGACCUUGCGCGAUUGAAUGAGCCGAUGUCGAAUUAGCUAGUUGGCGGGGUAAAGGCCCACCAAGGCGACGAUCCGUAGCUGGUCUGAGAGGAUGAUCAGCCACACUGGAACUGAGACACGGUCCAGACUCCUACGGGAGGCAGCAGUGGGGAAUAUUGGACAAUGGGCGCAAGCCUGAUCCAGCCAUACCGCGUGGGUGAAGAAGGCCUUCGGGUUGUAAAGCCCUUUUGUUGGGAAAGAAAAGCAGCAGGUUAAUACCCCGCUGUUCUGACGGUACCCAAAGAAUAAGCACCGGCUAACUUCGUG
rnacentral:rRNA from 1 species